rnacentral:rRNA from 1 species
UACGAGGGGGGCAAGCGUUGUUCGGAAUUAUUGGGCGUAAAGGGCGCGUAGGCGGUUUGAUAAGUCUGAUGUGAAAUCUAUGGGUUCAACCCAUAGUCUGCAUUAGAAACUGUCGGGCUUGAGUAUGGGAGAGGUGAGUGGAAUUUCCGGUGUAGCGGUGAAAUGCGUAGAUAUCGGAAGGAACACCUGAGGCGAAAGCGGCUCACUGGACCAUGACUGACGCUGAUGCGCGAAAGCUAGGGGAGCAAACAGG